GUCUAUGACCAAAUCACCCUGAACAUACUUGCUUUCACCUGAUCUUGUAAGCUAAGCAGGAUCAGGUCUAGUUAGUACUUGGAUGCGAGACUGCUUGGAAUUAACAGAUGCCAUAGGCU
rnacentral:rRNA from 1 species